AUUUCAGUCGUCGGAUCAUCCAUGGAUGGCUUGGAUCGCAGAAGACCAAGGGCCACGGCUCCGGCUUCACGAGACAUCGGACCUCCCCGCUGCUCCCCUCCGCAGGCUGUAGCCAACGCCGAUACCCAUUCUCCUCCCGUGCUCCUCGCGUGGCUCUCCUCCGGCGACCUGGAAUCGGUUCGAGCGGCUACACUGGGUGUUCAAGGCUUGGUGUGAAGGGCAGAGAGGGGAGCUUGUGGAGAGGGCUUGCUGACGAUGUGCUGCCUGACCUUCGAUGCUGCUCCUCUGCUCCUCCCCACCCCUCCACUCACCGCUGUCACGGACGUACUCCUCACCUCCGCUGCCUCACCUGUCCUGUCCCGUCCCAUCCCGUCUGUGCAAGAGCAAAAGUCGAUGGCACGGCUUGAAGAGGAGGAGCACCAGCAAAAGCAGAGUAGCGGCAGCGACGACGCGGCAUGCGUAGCGAGAGGUUCCUCCAGGCGUCAGUAGCGGAUGCGGCGGCGGCAACUUGGAGUGGCUCUAGGCCAUCUCAUGAGCUCCAUGUCUGAUGCUAGCUGCUCCGUGUAUUCUACAUACCCAAUCGAUUUUUCUUUUUUUCUUUUAUGUGUUAAUGUUCAUGCAUAUCAGCUGUUCGAUGAAAUAGCUAAAGGUAUCCGACUCGCAUUUUUUACCUCACUUUGAUUGGAUUCCAUUUUUCCAUCAAUCUUUGACUUUGCUUUCUUGCAAAUUAUAUAUACUGCUACAACAGAUGCUCUGUAAUUUACACAACGUUCAAAUAUUUCUGACUCCAAAACAACGAAAUAAUUGCACUUUAAAACUUUCUAAUGUUGGAGUUCAUUUGACAAGAUGAAUUGUUAAUUGUGUGUCAAAAUAAUUUGAGCCUCACCAAUUAUUACUGCAGAUAGCCAUUAUAAGGAAAAAAUCUACUGCUGCUACAAUGAUGUAUGAACAUGAGAAAGCAAGGCAGAUGUUAUUCUGAAGACACCCGUGCUAGGAAAUGGCUGAGCAAACGAGGUCUUGCGGUUUUGUUGUUCUGAAUAGCGGCAAGCUGUGUAAUAUGCUGGUUCAUUCAACCAAUAUAUUUAAUAUUACUUGGGAAAUCUACUGCUUCUUCUAAAAAAGUAUUCUUCAUGCUUAUCUUUGUCUUUUACUUGCUAAAUAACAUCUCCAUUGCUUAAACAUAUCGUUACCACAUCAACUAUGAUGAAGCAAGGGCGCAAAACGA